CCGCGGUGAAUACGUUCCCGGGCCUUGUACACACCGCCCGUCAAACCACGAAAGUUGGCAGUACCCGAAGUCCCGAGCAAUCGGGCCGAAGGUAAGGUCAGUGAUUGGGGUU
rnacentral:rRNA from 1 species